GAGUUUGAUUAUGGCUCAGGAUGAACGCUGGCGGCGUGCUUAACACAUGCAAGUCGAACGAACGACUAUUAACAGAACCUUUCGGGGCGAAGAUGAUAGAAGUUAGUGGCGGACGGGUGCGUAACGCGUGGGUAAUCUGCCUUUGUCAAAGGAAUAACUAUUCGAAGGAAUAGCUAAAACCGUAUAAAAUAUUAAUAGGGCAUCCUAAUAAUAUCAAAACGAUAGUGGACAAAGAUGAGCCCGCGUCUGAUUAGCUAGUUGGUGAGAUAAAAGCCCACCAAGGCAACGAUCAGUAGCCGACCUGAGAGGGUGAACGGCCACAUUGGAACUGAGACACGGUCCAAACUCCUACGGGAGGCAGCAGUGGGGAAUAUUGCACAAUGGGGGGAACCCUGAUGCAGCAACGCCGCGUGAGUGAAGAAGGCAUUCGUGUCGUAAAACUCUGUAGUAGGGGAAGAAAGAAAUGACA
rnacentral:rRNA from 1 species